rnacentral:rRNA from 1 species
UACGGAGGGGGCGAGCGUUAUUCGGAAUUAUUGGGCGUAAAGGGCGCGUAGGCGGCUUGAUAAGUCAAAGGUGAAAUCCCUCGGCUCAACUGAGGAACUGCCUUUGAAACUGUCUGGCUUGAGGCCGGGAGGGGGUAGCGGAAUUCCCAGUGUAGCGGUGAAAUGCGUAGAUAUUGGGAAGAACACCGGAGGCGAAGGCGGGUUGCUGGGCCGACACUGACGCUGAGGCGCGAAAGCCAGGGGAGCAAACGGG